rnacentral:rRNA from 1 species
GAUGAACGCUAGCGGCAGGCCUAAUACAUGCAAGCUGAACGGUAAAUGUUAUAGCAAUAUAAUAUGAGAGUAGCGUAAGGGUGCGUAACACGUAUGCAAUCUACCCGCAACAGGAGGAUAGCUCCCCGAAAGGGGAAUUAAUACUCCAUAAUAUCACGAGAGGGCAUCUGAUUGUGAUUAAACUCCAGGGGGUUGCGGAUGAGCAUGCGUCUGAUUAGUUAGUUGGUGAGGUAACGGCUCACCAAGACGAUGAUCAGUAGGGGAACUGAGAGGUUGAUCCCCCACACUGGCACUGAGAUACGGGCCAGACUCCUACGGGAGGCAGCAGUAGGGAAUAUUGGUCAAUGGGUGAGAGCCUGAACCAGCCAUGCCGCGUGCAGGAAGACGGCCUUCUGGGUUGUAAACUGCUUUUAUCUGGGGAUAAAAUACCCGUGCGCGGGGAAUUGAAGGUACCAGAGGAAUAAGCCACGGCUAACUACGUGCCAGCCGCCGCAGUAA